CACACGUGGGCUUUUGGUUGGGGGUUUUCUUUGAAGACCUGGAGGCUGUGCCAAGGCUUGUUAGCUGUUAAACUGUCCUCUUCAAGGAAUGAUAAAGCCAUUGUUUUUGUCAACUGUGUAGUUUUCCUUUUGCUUUGCUGAGGUUUUGUAAUGAAUUUGGCCGCAGGAGGAACACUUGGCUGAUUAACAGAAUACACUGUUGUAGGAAUGGGGACAGAAGUAGGAGCAUGAGAGCUUCCUCUGGGACAUGGAAGGAUUGUGUGCAGAGCAGAUGACACUCCUCAGAGUAGAUGCAGAAGGUGAACAGGUGCAAGAUCUUAGCCCAUCAAAAUCUGGGAAGCGGAAUGAAUAGGCUCAAAGCCCUGCUAAAGACAGGUUUGAGUGAGACUGAAUCCGAGCCAGAGUGCUGGGACCCUUGUUUUAUUGGGCAAUUGUCUAAGACUUGGGAUGGUACAGACACUUUACCCCAGAUGACGACUCUUCCAGCAUUUUACAAACGUUUAUUAUUCCCAUAUCACAGACCAAGGUAUUUUUGCAAGGUUUCUAAGAGGACAAUGAAGUGA
rnacentral:lncRNA from 1 species